rnacentral:rRNA from 1 species
GGGUUAGUAGGUUGGUCGUGCCUCUGGUAUGUACUGGUCUCACUGAUUCCUCCUUCCUGAUGAACCUUAAUGCCAUUAAUUUGGUGUCGUGGGGAAUCAGGACUGUUACUUUGAAAAAAUUAGAGUGUUUAAAGCAGACUAUCGUCUGAAUACAUCAGCAUGGAAUAAUGAAAUAGGACGGACUGAUUCUAUUUCGUUGGUUUCUAGGAUCACCGUA